rnacentral:rRNA from 1 species
UACAGAGGGGGCGAGCGUUGUUCGGAAUUACUGGGCGUAAAGGGCGCGUAGGCGGCCUUCUAAGUCGAACGUGAAAUCCCCGGGCUCAACCCGGGAACUGCGUCCGAUACUGGAUGGCUUGAAUCCGGGAGAGGGAUGCAGAAUUCCAGGUGUAGCGGUGAAAUGCGUAGAUAUCUGGAGGAAUACCGGUGGCGAAGGCGGCAUCCUGGACCGGCAUUGACGCUGAUGAGCGAAAGCUAGGGGAGCAAACGGG